GAUGAACGCUGGCGGCGUGCCUAAUACAUGCAAGUCGAGCGAACGGACGAGAAGCUUGCUUCACUGAUGUUAGCGGCGGACGGGGGAGUAACACGUGGAUAACCUACCUAUAAGACUGGGAUAACUUCGGGAAACCGGAGCUAAUACCGGAUGAUAUUUUGAACCGCAUGGUUCAAAAGUGAAAGACGGUCUUGCUGUCACUUAUAGAUGGAUCCGCGCUGCAUUAGCUAGUUGGUAAGGUAACGGCUUACCAAGGCAACGAUGCAUAGCCGACCUGAGAGGGUGGUCGGCCACACUGGAACUGAGACACGGUCCAAACUCCUACGGGAGGCAGCAGUAGGGAAUCUUCCGCAAUGGGCGAAAGCCUGACGGAGCAACGCCGCGUGAGUGAUGAAGGUCUUCGGAUCGUAAAACUCUGUUAUUAGGGAAGAACAUAUGUGUAAGUAACUGUGCACAUCUUGACGGUACCUAAUCAGAAAGCCACGGCUAACUACGUG
rnacentral:rRNA from 1 species